AACGAACGCUGGCGGCAUGCCUAACACAUGCAAGUCGAACGGGAUCCAGGCUUCGGCCUGGUGAGAGUGGCGGACGGGUGAGUAACACGUGGGAACCUGCCUUUUGGUUCGGGAUAACCGCGGGAAACUGCGGCUAAUACCGGAUGCUCCCGAGAGGGGAAAGAUUUAUCGCCAGAAGAGGGGCCCGCGUCCGAUUAGGUAGUUGGUGAGGUAAUGGCUCACCAAGCCGACGAUCGGUAGCUGGUCUGAGAGGAUGAUCAGCCACACUGGGACUGAGAUACGGCCCAGACUCCUACGGGAGGCAGCAGUGGGGAAUAUUGGACAAUGGGGGGCAACCCUGAUCCAGCAAUGCCGCGUGAGUGAUGAAGGCCUUAGGGUUGUAAAGCUCUUUUGCCAGGGAAGAUGAUGACUGUACCUGGAGAAUAAGCCCCGGCUAACUUCGUGCCAGCAGCCGCGGUAAU
rnacentral:rRNA from 1 species